AUGAACGCUGGCGGCGUGCCUCAUACAUGCAAGUCGAGCGAACAGACGAGGAGCUUGCUCCUCUGACGUUAGCGGCGGACGGGUGAGUAACACGUGGAUAACCUACCUAUAAGACUGGGAUAACUUCGGGAAACCGGAGCUAAUACCGGAUAAUAUAUUGAACCGCAUGGUUCAAUAGUGAAAGACGGUUUUGCUGUCACUUAUAGAUGGAUCCGCGCCGCAUUAGCUAGUUGGUAAGGUAACGGCUUACCAAGGCAACGAUGCGUAGCCGACCUGAGAGGGGGGACGGACAAACCGGGAAAGGAACCCGGGACCGACCACAAAGGGAGGGAGCAAGAGGGAAAUCUCCGGAAAGGGGAAAAACCAGAAAGAAGAAACGCGGGGAAGGUAAGAAAGGUCUUCGAAUAGAAAAACUUUUUUAUAGGAGAAAAAAAAUUGUGAAAGAAAUAAGGCACGUCUAGAGGAAACAAAAUAAGAAGACCACGACAAGCAAGGGC
rnacentral:rRNA from 1 species